rnacentral:rRNA from 1 species
CUCUUUGACCUGAUCGCCCUGAACGUGCUCGAUCUUGUCGGGUUAUCUCGGAAGCUAAGCCGGUCUGAACCUGGUCAGUAAUUGGAUGGCUGACCACGAGGGCUUGGCCCACCAGGUGUUGUAGAUG